CAAAAGAGAAAUUAAGAAAAUUUAAAAAAAACCUUGAGUACAUUUUAAGGCCAAAUUGUUUAUUCAUCUGACACAAUUUUUUAUUUUCAAAUAAAACAAAAACCCAACAACACCCUUUUUAAACUUCUGUGACCCAGGGUAGGCAUCUUCUAGAAAGUCAAUAGAUAAUAAAACAAAAGCUUUGCUCCACUGAUUUACAUUUGUAACCCAAUACCCUUCAUCAGUAUGACAGAAUUGAUAACAACAAAAAAACCAACCUUAUCCUUUCCCAGUUUUAUUUCCAGGAUCCUACAAGACCAUGUUUACCAGAAUUGCCACUCAUUUUAAUAACAACACAGUGACAAAUAACUAGAAAACAUUAGACAGCGACAGAGAAUGGAGUAUUAGUAGCGGUGGUUUCAAUGAGAAUGGCUCCAUAGGAUCACAUAUUUGAAUGGUUGGUCCCCAGGUGGCGGAACUGUUUGAGGAUUGGAGGAGGUAUGUUAAGGGGUGGGGGACAGGGUGGGGCCGGGAGUGAUGCUUGGAGGUUUCAAAAGCCAAUGCCAUUCCCAUUUCGCACUCUCUGCCUUGUGCUUGCUGUAGAUCAAACUGGACCUCUUACGACUACUUCAGUGCCAUGUGUGCUGCCAUCUUCCUACCAGUAUGGUCAUGGACUCAUCCUCUUAAACUGUGAAUCUCAAUAAACUCUUCUGUUAAGUGGCCUUGGUCAUGAUGACUUAUCACACCAAUAAAGAGCAACUAAGAAUGAAGUGUGAUAGCAAAAAAGAAAAACAAAACAAAACAAAAAACACUCAAGACAGGGUCACAUAUAGCCCAGGGGAGCCUCCAAUUCACUUUGUAGCCAAGAAAGACCCUGAAUACCCAAUCUUUCAGCGUCCACAUCCCAAGUACUGGAUUUAUAGGUGUGCACCACCACACCCCACUAAAUGAUAGGUCUUACUAAGUGUAGCAGAGUAAACCUAUUAAAACUGCAGCUCUAAGACAUCCCUUUCCCAAUGGCAGUAUCAAUUUAAAAUUGUCCCAAGGAUAAAGUUACCUGCAAAAUGAAGAGUUGUAGUCAUGGAGAUCAUGAGUAAACUAAAAAGGACAAGAUUUUUCCCAUAAUAAUUACAUGUAAUUUUUCCUGACCACUCAAAACAAAUCUAAUAAUAUCACUUUAAGAGUUCAAAAUGGUGGUUUUAUUCUACAGGUGGGAGAAAAAAAAUCCCUUCCUUCCUGGGUUUUCAACCUAGAGGGUUAACUGGUAGCCGGUUAAAUUUACUUUGGAGAGGCAUGAGGUGUACAUGAUGAGCGCACUAGCAGCACCCAGGAAGGUGAAAUAGGAGGAUUAUCAAGCGUUCAGUGUCAACCUGGGAAAACCAUCUCAAAAAACAAAAAAAAUCAAAGUUUUUCCUUUCUGGGUGGGUGGGUACAGCAUCACUCCUGAGUGAUUUCUCAGCACAUAAGCAGGUUUGUUAAGGGGAGUGAAAGUAGGUGUUUAAAAGCCCGAAAUAGUUAAUUACAAGCCCCUAUGGGACACCACAACAACCCAACACAGUAUGCUCAGUCAUUUCAUUUCCACAACAGUGCUAUGUAGUCUUUACAAAUUUUGAGACAGUAGCCCAGUCUAGCCUUUAACUUGCUGUGAUCCUCCGGACUCAGCCUCCUCCAGUGUAGGUGUGCACAGGUGCUUCUUAAACAGUUAAAAUGAAUCCAAUCAAAUCAAAACCAACCAAACAAAAAACCCCUCAAAUGCCUAGUCACUACUAAAACCAUCCCCCAAAUGAAGGACCCAAGCAGGAAAAAACAGCAGCACCCCAAGACCACCAAGAUACUUAAAUCUAUUAGCAUAUAGGGGCAUACCUACACAAACAUCCGAUGGAAUUUACCAGGAGUCAUGCUUUUUUUUUGAGACAGGGUUUCUCUGUGAAACAACCCUGGCUGUCCUGGAACUCCCUCUGUAGACCAGGCUGGCCUCGAAUUUAGAGAUCCACCAGCCUCUACGUCUGGAGUGCUGGGAUUAAAGGCAUGCGCCACCACUGUCCAGAUGACCUAGUUUUAUCUUGUGUGUGUGUGUGUGUGUGUUUUAACACUAUAACGUGACAAAAAUAAACAUGUCUUUAUAAAUUUGUCUAACUUGCUAGAAAACCCAAGAAUACAAACACUGGGUUUAGCAAUAGUCAGGAAAUUGCUCAAAAGAUACAGAAUUGAUCUACUGUUCUUUCAUUCGUAGACAUAGUUUGUAAUUCUUGCUAAAGGCAACACAAUGCAGUUGUUAUAUUUGAUUCACUGUGCACAAAGUAUCUAUCCUAAAAUUCUGCAUUAAUACUUGGUGUCUCUAGAAUUCUGCACAGAUUUAAGGACAAUCACACCAAUCAACUAAGACUUUAUAGAUUUCCCCAUGAAACAUUUUUUUCACAAUUAAGUUCAUUUAAAAUGUUAUCAUGGGGUAGUGUAUCUCCACUUGUGUGGCGAUCAGGGAACGAUUUUGUGGGUCUUGUUCUCUCCCCAUCCACUUUUCCUUGGGUGGAAGAUUGAACCAUCUCACCAGGCCCAAAUAAGCAUUUUUAUCUCAAAAUAAAAACACUCAAAGUUUUACUAUGUAAUCCUCUUAAGAUCAGGUUUUAAAAGCUGCACUGUGACCCUCCCUAUGGAAAGCCAGUAAGAAUAUUUCAAAAUCAACAACUCAGGUUUUCUUCAGAGUACCGAGAAGUACCCUGGCUGUUCUGGAACUCACUCUGUAGACCAGGCUGGCCUCCAACUCAGAGAUCUGCCUGCCUCUGCCUUCACCUUGCUCAGAUUAAAGGCGUGCGCCACACUACCUUAAAGGUUUCUUAGUUGUAAUUU